CAGAGUGACUUUCCAAGAUGUAGGGGCUACCCCAUUUCAGUGGCAGGCAGGAAUGAAAUUUGGUGCAGGAGUAUGGAGCAGACUACAGCAAUCCCUGUGUUGGCGUUCAGGGGAGAUAAGCAGCGACUGCAUCUCUGCCCACUGUCAUAGUCAAGUCUGGGUCCCAGUAUUCAUGAUGGAUUGUCCUUAAAAUCCUCAUGAUACCUGGAGAUGAGAAUAGGGAUAAAGGACCCAUAUAAAGAAAGACUAACCUCCAAGAUGAGAAGAUAAUAGUUGGACACUUCAUGAACAAUUGUUUGAGUCUCCUGAUCAGCACCACCACCUGCCUUCAGACAAUGGUCUGAAGACAACUUCCAGACAGUGGCAAGAACCAGAGAACAGAAGGCAAUGACUGGACUGGACAACAGCUUUGAACCAUUUUUCUUUCUGAAAUAUCGAUGAUAAUGAUUUUACAAAUGCCUCAUA